UACGUAGGGGGCAAGCGUUGUCCGGAUUUAUUGGGCGUAAAGAGCGUGUAGGCGGCCUGGAAGGUCAGCUGUGAAAACUCGAGGCUCAACCUCGAGACGUCGGUUGAAACCACCUGGCUAGAGUCCGGAAGAGGAGGGUGGAAUUCCCGGUGUAGCGGUGAAAUGCGCAGAUAUCGGGAAGAACACCCGUGGCGAAGGCGGCUCUCUGGGACGGUACUGACGCUGAGACGCGAAAGCGUGGGGAGCAAACAGG
rnacentral:rRNA from 1 species